ensembl:miRNA mir-269 ncRNA
GGGCAAAAGUUGGGCAAGACUCUGGCAAAACUUGGAUUUAUGCUGCGCCAAAGUUUAACCCAAGUUUGACCCAACUCUUGUCAAAUUUUUGUCC